GUCUGUAAGAGACUACUCAUAAGGAUUGUAUUAUAAGAAGCUGUAUAAUAUUAUCUUUAUUCCUCUGGAGUUAAUGCGGCCAAUGAGUUCUGACGGCGUUUUUUGAGGCACUGAUAAGGCAUGAAACAAAGACAUGUGAGCCACAAUAAAUGUCUGUUGAAACCAAA